GCGCGCCGCCCGCCCCGCGCUGCUCUUCCUCCUCCUCCUCCUCCUCUUCCUCGCGGCAGCCCUGCGGCUGCCGUGAUGCCCCGUGGAGCAGCGCGGCGGGGGCACGUGUGUGCGUGCGUGUGUGUGUUCGUGCAUGGCAGGAGCGAGUGCGUGGGUGCGCGCAUGCGUGAGUGUGCAGGUGUGUGCGUGCAUGCGUCUGUGGGCUGCUGUGUGUGUGUGUGCACGUGCAAUGGUGCGAGUGCCUGGGCGUGUGUGCCCGCAUCUGAGGCGUGAGUGCAUGGGCACGCACACAUGUGAGUGUGCACGCCCAUGCGCAUGUGAGGUGUGAGUGCAUGUGUGUGCACUCAGGUGAGUGUGCGUGUGCUGCGCUGUGUGUGCACGCAUGUUGGUGUGCAUGCCUUUGCAUGUGCACGUGCAUGUGAGGUGUGAGUGCAUGUGUAUGCACAUCCAUGAGUGUGCACGUGUGUGCAUGCGUUUGUGUGCUGCAGUGUAUGCCCGCACAAGGGUGUGCAUGCCUUUGUGUGUGCACAUGCAUGCGAGGCGUGACUGCAUGUGUGCACACACAUUAGUGUGCAUGCCUUUGUGCACACGCAUGUGUGGGAUGAGUGCCUCUGUGUGCCUGCAUGUGAGCGUGCAUGUGUUUGUGAGCACGUGUGUGUGCACAUGCAUUUUUGUGCAUGCCUUUUUGUGCGUGCAUGUGAGGGGGCGAGCACAUGUGUGUAAGUGCACGUGUUUGCGAGCGUGCACGUUGYGUGCGCACAAGCGGCUGUGUGCAUGCAUUUGUGUUUGUAUGCGCGUGUGGAAGGAGAGCGCACACGUUUGUGUGCGUGCGUGCACGGGGGUGAUUGCAUGUGUGUACACGUGUGCUUGUGCACAGCCGGGUGCGUGCGUGUGUUCCCGUGCGAGAACGUGUGCGUGCAGGCAUGCACAUGUGCAGCAGAGCACAUGCGUGUGCACGUGAGGCCACGUGUGUGCACGGCACCGUCAGCCAGGACAAGAGCGUCACGGCAGCAGCCGGAGCCAAGGCCUUGGAMGCUCAGGACUUGGCCACCCCCGUGUUUGGGAAAGGCGCCCUGACCCCAAACCGGGACCUUUUCACCCCAAAACGCCCAGCGCAGGGGCUCCAACACCCUGAACCUCCGCAGCCCGCCAGGACGAGGCAGCCCGCAGCAGCGCCAGCAGCCGGGACGGCUCCGCAUUCCCCUCUCACGGCCGUCUCAGCCUUCACUUUUGGGCCAAAACCCGCCCGGAACGGGAGCGCUGCCCGGUGGGGUUUUUGGGAGCGAAGCCUGGCGGAGGAGCCAGGCGCUCAGCUGCCUGGGAAGCACCGCAGGACUUUCCACCCGGCAUCUCCGCUGUUCCCAGCGCCCCGCUGUCCCUGGCGUCCCUGCUGUCCCCCGGCGUCCCCAGUGUCUCCAGCAUCCCUGGGGGGGGGGGGGUUGGUGGCCCCCCAGAGGAGCCCCCAGCCCCCUCUCCGUGCCCAGGGCCGCGGCGAUGGGGGCCCGCGGGGGGCUGCUGUGCGCCGCCUCCGGCCUGGUGCUGCUGCUCACGGCCACCGCCACCGACUUCUGGGUGCAGCAGCGGGCGCCCGGCGGCGCCGGCUGCCAGGGCCUCUGGCGCGUCUGCGUGGGCAGCGUCUGCCGCCCCCAUCCCGGCACCCCGGGUAGGUGCCCGGAGCGCGGCACGAGGGCUGGGGCGGGCGCUGAGGGGCACUGCUGGGCUGAGUUGUGUCAGGUCUCUGCGGGGGGGGGGAGCUGGGGACGGGCACUGCUGGGCUGAGCUGUGUCGGGUCUCUGCCAGGGGGGAGCUGGGGACGGGC
ensembl:lncRNA